CGAUGAUGCUGAGCUUGCUUAGCGGAUUAGUGGCGAACGGGUGAGUAACACGUGAGUAACCUGCCCUUGACUCUGGGAUAAGCGUUGGAAACGACGUCUAAUACCGGAUAUGACCUUCAGCCGCAUGGUUUGUUGGUGGAAAGAAUUUUGGUCAAGGAUGGACUCGCGGCCUAUCAGGUUGUUGGUGAGGUAAUGGCUCACCAAGCCUACGACGGGUAGCCGGCCUGAGAGGGUGACCGGCCACACUGGGACUGAGACACGGCCCAGACUCCUACGGGAGGCAGCAGUGGGGAAUAUUGCACAAUGGGCGAAAGCCUGAUGCAGCAACGCCGCGUGAGGGAUGACGGCCUUCGGGUUGUAAACCUCUUUUAGUAAGGAAGAAGAACUUCGGUUUGACGGUACUUGCAGAAAAAGCACCGGCUAACUACGUGCCAGCAGCCGCGGUAAUACGUAGGGUGCAAGCGUUGUCCGGAAUUAUUGGGCGUAAAGAGCUCGUAGGCGGUUUGUCGCGUCUGCUGUGAAAUCUGGAGGCUCAACCUCCAGCCUGCAGUGGGUACGGGCAGACUAGAGUGCGGUAGGGGAGAUUGGAAUUCCUGGUGUAGCGGUGGAAUGCGCAGAUAUCAGGAGGAACACCGAUGGCGAAGGCAGAUCUCUGGGCCGUAACUGACGCUGAGGAGCGAAAGCAUGGGGAGCGAACAGGAUUAGAUACCCUGGUAGUCCAUGCCGUAAACGUUGGGAACUAGAUGUAGGGCCCUUUCACGGUUUCUGUGUCGCAGCUAACGCAUUAAGUUCCCCGCCUGGGGAGUACGGCCGCAAGGCUAAAACUCAAAGGAAUUGACGGGGGCCCGCACAAGCGGCGGAGCAUGCGGAUUAAUUCGAUGCAACCCGAAGAACCUUACCAAGGCUUGACAUAUACCGGAAACCUGCAGAAAUGUAGGCCCCGCAAGGUCGGUAUACAGGUGGUGCAUGGUUGUCGUCAGCUCGUGUCGUGAGAUGUUGGGUUAAGUCCCGCAACGAGCGCAACCCUCGUUCUAUGUUGCCAGCACGUUAUGGUGGGAACUCAUAGGAGACUGCCGGGGUCAACUCGGAGGAAGGUGGGGAUGACGUCAAAUCAUCAUGCCCCUUAUGUCUUGGGCUUCACGCAUGCUACAAUGGCCGGUACAAAGGGCUGCGAUACCGUAAGGUGGAGCGAAUCCCAAAAAGCCGGUCUCAGUUCGGAUUGAGGUCUGCAACUCGACCUCAUGAAGUCGGAGUCGCUAGUAAUCGCAGAUCAGCAACGCUGCGGUGAAUACGUUCCCGGGCCUUGUACACACCGCCCGUCAAGUCAUGAAAGUCGGUAACACCCGAAGCCAGUGGCCCAACCGUAA
rnacentral:rRNA from 1 species